rnacentral:rRNA from 1 species
AUACGGAGGAUGCAAGCGUUAUCCGGAUUUAUUGGGUUUAAAGGGUGCGUAGGCGGUUUGCUAAGCGGGAGGUGAAAUGCCGGCGCUCAACGUCGGAAGUGUCUCCCGAACUGGUGGACUGGAAUGACUCUGCCGUGGGAGGAAUGUGUAGUGUAGCGGUGAAAUGCUUAGAGAUUACACAGAACACCGAUUGCGAAGGCAUCUCACGAAGGGUUGAUUGACGCUGAGGCACGAAAGCGUGGGGAUCAAACAGGAUUAGAUACCCUGGUAGUCCACGCAGUAAACGAUGAUGGCUAACCGCUGGUUUUUUCGGAUCAGUGGCCAAGCGAAAGCGAUAAGCCAUCCACCUGGGGAGUACGACCGCAAGGUUGAAACUCAAAGGAAUUGACGGGG